rnacentral:rRNA from 1 species
AGGAUGAACGCUAGCUACAGGCUUAACACAUGCAAGUCGAGGGCAGCAUUAUCGAAGCUUGCUUGAUAGAUGGCGACCGGCGCACGGGUGAGUAACGCGUAUCCAACCUUCCCAUCACUCAGGGAUAGCCCGCCGAAAGGCGAAUUAAUACCUGAUGGUCUCCUUCGCGGACAUCUAACGAGGAGUAAAGAUUUAUUGGUGAUGAAGUGGGGAUGCGUCUGAUUAGGUAGUAGGCGGGGUAACGGCCCACCUAGCCGACGAUCAGUAGGGUUCUGAGAGGAAGGUCCCCCACAUUGGAACUGAGACACGGUCCAAACUCCUACGGGAGGCAGCAGUGAGGAAUAUUGGUCAAUGGACGGAAGUCUGAACCAGCCAAGUAGCGUGCCAGGAUGACCGGCCCUAUGGGUUAGUAAACUGUCUUUUGUGCGGGAAUAAAGUUUGGGACGUGUCCCAUUUUGCAUGUACCGCACGAAUAAGGACCGGCUAAUUCCGUGCCAGCAGCGGC